GAAGCCCCGGCGGCGGAAGUCGUCAUUCUCUGUUGGAGCCCUAUGCCGUCAACCCCGUAGGAGGCUCGCCAUGGCGAUGAGCAGCAGCGGCGAUGGUGGCUGCGUCCCAGAGCAGGAAAACUCGGUGCUGUUUCGGCGCGGGACAGGCCAGAGUGAUGACUCUGACAUUUGGGAUGAUACAGCAUUGAUAAAAGCUUAUGAUAAAGCUGUGGCUUCCUUUAAGUACGCUCUAAAGAAUGGUGACAUUUCAGAUAAACCACAAGGAGAAAUGUCCGGCAAACCGAAGGGCACACCCAGAAGAAAACCUGUUAAGAAGAGUAAAAGCCAGAAGAAGAAUACCACAGCUCCCUCAAAACAGUGGAAAGUGGGUGACAGGUGUUCUGCUGUUUGGUCAGAAGAUGGCUGCAUUUAUCCAGCUACAAUCGCUUCUGUGGAUUUGAAGAGAGAAACCUGUGUUGUGGUCUAUACUGGAUAUGGAAACAGGGAGGAACAAAAUCUGUCUGAUCUACUUUCCCCAAGCUCUGAAGCAGCCAACAACAUGGAACAGAACACACAGGAGAAUGAAAAUGGAAGUCAAGUUUCAACGGAUGAAAGUGAGAACUCUUCCAAGUCUCCAGGAAGCAAACCAAGUACGGUCAGGUCGAAAGCCACACCCUGGAACUCCUUUUUCCCUCCGCCACCACCCCCCGUUCCUAGCUCAGGAUCUGGACCUGGAAAGCCAGGUCUAAAAUUCAGUGGCCUACCCCCACCCCCACCACCUCCACACUUCCUGUCAUGCUGGCUGCCUCCAUUUCCGGCUGGACCUCCAAUGAUCCCCCCGCCGCCUCCCAUCUGUCCAGACUCGUUUGAUGAUGCAGACGCACUGGGCAGCAUGCUGAUGUCGUGGUACAUGAGUGGCUAUCACACUGGCUACUACAUGGGUUUCAGACAAAAUCAAAAAGAAGGGAGGAGCUCACAUUUUAAUUGAGAUCCAAGAAUGCUAGGAUUCCAGGUGUGUGCCAGCAUGCCCAGCUAAGAUGAAAGGCAGAAGAAUCCAAAGAGAAAGGAAAGAAGAAAAAACUCACAACAUAAAAAGAAUGCCUCUCCACUUGGGAUUCAGAAUUAAAAGAUGCUUCAGAAAGUCAGCUUCUCAAACUACAAACCGAGAAUAAAAAACCCGAGAAAGGAGCUGGACAGUAUGGAAAAUUCAGACAAGAUAAACACCAUGCAACAAAGCCUACAGACAGAGAUGGAGCUUGCUACAGUUACUCAACAUGUGUUCCAGAACGUCAUUUUGGGGUGUAAAGUCAACUGGGCAGCAGAGCCAGCACUCAGGGAAACUGUUCUGCAGCUUGAAAAGGCUCUCACCACAGUCUAACAAGAAUUCCACUGGGCCAGGUGUCGCCAUGUGUGCCUUUGAUCUCAGCACUCAGGAGGCUGAAACAAGAGGAUUGCCACAUGCUGAAGACCAGCAAAGAUUUGCACCUUGAAGUUUUUGGAUUUUUGUCUCUGAUAUGUCAUUUAAAUAGCAAGUUUCAAGUGAAAUGAAUUUGCGAUGUUUGGGGAACUCUCCUAAUCUGUAAUUGCUUUUUAGCUUCAGUUAACACUCUAACAUAGAAUCAGUGAUUUUAAAUAACACUAAAGUGACUGUGUACUCUUAAAAGGGGAAUGUCUUAGUCAUAGAAAAGACACCUGGUCUGAUAUCUGAGGAGCAGGCGCAGUUUUGGACAUUCACAAGGUCCCAGCAUUUGAUUGUAAUACUUCUGUGCAUUUCUGCAUUUGUCAGUCAGGAUGCAGAGAAGUCUCCAGAGUGUCAGCAGGUGGUAUAAUUCGUAGUGGGGUUCUGAGUAACUGUCUUCUGUUCUCUCUGUGUCUGUUUCUCCCCUCACACAUACUUCUGCCCACACACAUACAUAAUGCUGGCUACACCCCGGCAAUGCUGAUGUACAGUGACAUCCAUGCCCAUUUUCAGUUCUGUUUGGAGACAAGCUCUUGCCAACUUACCAAGGCUGGCUUCAGACUUGGAACCCUCCUGAACAACUGGGAUUACAAGCAUGUACUGCCAUGUCCAGUACAGCUCUUUAUUAAUUAGGAGCUAUUGAUCAUAUUUGUGGACAGUGUGAUGUUUUCAGUAUUCUUACUGGAAUAAAGUGAAACUUGAAAAGAUGCGCUCAUUGGAUAAUAGCUCGUGAAAUCUGUUCUUUGGAUUAAUAACAAAGAGAGAUUUCCCUAAGCUCAAAUAGUAGGCUUUUCUUUGAAAUAUUUAUACCUUGCUUUCUUUCAUCAAUCAUACUGUAUGCAUAGAUUUAUUCUUUUUGUCAGUUAUUGUUUUGAGGUAGAGUCUCACUGUGUCCUUCAGGGCGUUCUUGAACUCACUAUGUAGCCCAGGCUGUCCUAGAACUUCCUGCAGUCCUCCUGCCUCAGCCUCCUGAGUAGUAGGUUACAGGGAUGCACCACCACACCUGAUCUGUUGUUGUCUAUAUCAAUUUUUAUGAAGUAACUUAUGUUUUGCGUGCAAAUUAUUAUUUUGGAAAAUGCUUUUCCAUUCCAGUAAUCCACACAGGAACUUUUGUUUGUUGUAGUACUGGGCAUUGAACCUAGGGCUAUUGUGCUAAGCUCUCUUGAGCUCUAUAUUUGUUUUUUUAAUUUGUUAUUUUGAGAUAGGAUCUCAUCAAGUUGCUGAGUUGCCCAGGCUGGGCUGAAACUUGAUCCUCCUGCCUCAGCCCCCUAGAAAGCUGGCAUUCUAGCAGUGCACUACCACAGUCACUUGACACUGUAUUAGUAAAUUUCAACCUGUGGACCACCUGAAAAAGUGUAUCUUCAUAUACUAAAACAGGUAUAUGUUUAUCUGGGACCUUAGUGGUCUUUGACUUACCUGUUACCCAGCUCUGAGAGAGGAAGUGGGUAGGCUUUGCCUGAACUGUUGCUGAAUACGGAACUCACAGCUCACUGUUUUAGGACAUUUACUUCUGUGUGGGUUUGGGGUUCAGCCGCCCACUCUAGGACUCCAUUUGAGGGAGCAGCCACUCAGCAGAAGGCAGGGGCUCCUUAGAUCAAGUCAAGUGCAUUUCACAAGCAGAAUGUAAUCGUCUGCUUGGGAAAGGCAGCCAUGGCCCCAACCCCACAUCACAGAGGCCUUGGGUUUUCUCCCAUCUAGCGAAUGCUGCAUUUCAGACUCAGGAAAAGGAAAUGGGAAUUUACUACAAAGGACAUGAUCUACCUUACUCAGCUUUGCUCCAUGAAAUAGACACCCAAGACUAGGGAGGUGCCGGCAGUCCUAGUGACUUGGGAGGCUGGGGCAGAACUGCUUCAGCCAUCAAGAUCAAUCCAGCCUGGGAUAUACUUGAGACCUAAUGUCUGGCUUAUAACCACAUCCACAAAGACACUCUCUCCAGGAAGUAAGCCAACAGCGCAGCCUCUCCUGGUGGUAUUUCAAGCUUCAAGAGCUCUCUCUCUCUCUUGCUCUCAUUCUUGCUCUUUGUCUCUCUCUCUCUCUCUCUCUCUAUCUCUCUCUCCCUCCCUAAUCCUGUUGCAGGGGGUCUCCAGCCUGGGCAACUCUAUGUAACUGGCCUAGAACUCACAGGGAUCCUCAUGCCUCCGCCUCCCAAGUGCUGGAGUUACAGGAGUGCUUCACCACACUCAGAUCGUCUUGUUCUUCAGUUGUUCUUCUCAUCAGUAUCAGGGACUGAUAACCUGACUCACAGGCUGUUUUAGUAUAUGAAGUUUUACCACCACAAGGCCGUGCCACUAUGUUCACAUGUUAACUGUGCUUGCUUUCUUGCCAUGAUAAAAUAGUGUAAUCGAAUGAAGUAGCUUAAUAGUGACCCUGAGGCGGCUGCACUGCGCUUUUCCAUAGGAUGAGGUAUUGUGAAAGACAGGUUACCGAGCCCCGUGGGAGCUGGCUUCUGUUUGAGGGAUGGCAAAGAAAUACCAGCAUGGCCCUCUCUCAAGGGCUCAGGGGCUUUGCAUGGGAUUUGAAGAGGGGAUUGUCGCUACCUUGAGUCAGGGUGGCUUUGUGAACUGUGACUGUCAUGCUGUUGGGCCCACGUGUGUUUAUCUGCUCCUCUUACUGUCAUAAGGACCCGUGGACCUUGGUGGUACCAUGGGGUGGCAGUUCUGCCUCCCUCAUUUUUGCCUUGACAAGGGCCCAGGCAUCCUGGGGCUGGACCUAGUAAUCCUCAGGUUUUCCCUCACAAUGCAUUGAAAAAUCUAGUUAUGCUGUAGAAUGUUUAUUCUGAAUUACCCAAAUACUUCUUGUUUAUGCGAUUUAUUUUACUACUGAGUUACUGCAACCUACAUGUUAGAUCCAAGUAUUUUAUUAAAAUAUUUUUUAUCAGGAAACCUCAGCCUGGACUAGAUACCUCCUGUUCCAUCACCCACUGUGCUCUGGCCUGGCUUCCAGCCAGCAUUGGGGAUGGGGUCACUGGUCAAGCAGAGGAAAGGCAAGGCCAAGGAAGGUCGUGGCACACCGGGCACACAGGCCGAGUGUGGGUGGAGGAGUGGAACAGGCGGGUGCGUGCACUAGGGCCUAGUCAGUCCUGGUGUGUGCUCUGCCACCCAGGGAGCAGUGGGUACGGAUGGCGCAUCCCAUGCCUUGUAAGCAGACACAGUGAAGAUGAGGACAGACAGAUUGAGCACUGAUGGUGAAUCAUUGAGUGACCUGAUAGCAGUCUCUGGGCAGACUCUACCUGUGCAAAGUGAAGAUAGAAUUUCUGCUUUUGCUUCAGAAGCAUUUACCAUCCUCAUGCUGUGGAAAAGUCAUCUGCGAGGAGCCUACAUUGGGAAUUCCCUGAAGCAGAGUCAGAGCCAGCACUCUCCUGGCAGGAUCCCUGAAACGUCCAUUCGGAUGUGAUCGGGACUUUGUGUUGCACUGAACACUUUCUUAUGCCUCCUGUGUGACUGCCUUUUGCUUAGUUUUUUUUAUUGGUAUGUGAUCACAGUACACAACGAUUAUAUUCAUCAGAGAUAGUUGGUGGAUCUGCAUGAUAGACUUUUCCUCGUUGUGGUAGAAAAACAAUAGUAAAGAAAGGAAAGAACAAAAAGGCCUUUAUUGCUGGCAUGGGAGGGCUGCAGUGGGGCGCAAGAUCCCUUCAGGGCAGACAAAGAAACCUGGAGCUUUUAUUCAGUUUGAGAGGGGUGGAGUUCGAUGGGGUGGGCAGAGUGACAUUUUGACAGUUAUUUGAGGGAUUGCUGAUGUGUGCACAAGUGGGAAGUUCACUUUUUGGCUUUGCAAGAAGAACGUGGAAGUCAGUUUUGAAGUGAGGUACGGUCCAGUGCUAUGUUGGGCAGGCACCAUGCUAAGCCUAGCAGUGCUCCACAGGAGCGGAAUCCAUUAUUCCCAUCUUUUGGGUGUUAGAGGCAGCCACUCUUAAACUGCUUCCUGCUGACUGGGGUGACAUGAUGGGCAUUGAAGUAGUCAUUGUGAUGACAGGUUGGACCCGUGUAGAAUCUGGUACCAGGGGUUCCCUUAGGACAAGGAAUUACCUUGUUAUAAAGGCCCACAACCUGGAUUGAAGAAAUCUUGAGAAUAGUUUAAACAGACAAGGAGCUAUAAUCAAAAAAUAACAAGUAGUAUGAGAGGUCCUUCCAGGGGAAGAAGCUAGGAGGAAAGUGUUCCCUUUUCUAUAAGAACAGCAAUCGGACUUUUUUGCAGAUAUUAUCGUAAUGUAUUUUUAAUUGCCCAUAACAGUUGUUAAUUACUGGGAUAAUUGGAAACUGCCUGAAGAGGUUAAACUUGGAGCCCUUUUUAUAUUUAACUUAUACACAUUUUUAUAUCCUUUGAUUAUAUUUUAUACUGGAUGUUUAAGACCAAGUUAAAUUGAGACCUGUGUUAAUUAAAACUAACCUCUUGCUAUCUAUCAAGGUCAGGUAAGUCUCCUCAGGAUUUGUCUUGGAACCAUGUGUGGAGCCUCUCAGUUCUUGACAGUGUCAGCCAUCAGGAUGGUCAAGCAAUGAGCCAUUGCUUGACCAAUUUGGUUUCUGUGAAAACUUGGGGGAAUUUUCUCCUGGUGACUCUCCUUAGGCACACUAUAUAUUGUGUCACACUUGUUUGUAGUCCCAUAAUCUCCUUGAUCACAAGACCCAUGGAGAUAAGGAAUGUCAUUGCAGAGGUUCUCAUAUCCUGGAUCUUCAGUGACCUCAGAGGGCUGCAAACAAAAUAUUGGUUGUCUCCCAGCCCACUCAUCUUUUUAAUUUUUGGUCUGCAAAUAUCUAUUGUUGAACAUCCAGAAGUAAGGAUUGGUAAUAUUAUAGUGUAAUAAGGCAGCAUGUUUAGCAUUAUUACCUUAUCUGAAUAUCAGGCUCCUUAGAACAUAAAAUAGCAACCAAUAUUUCUAUCAAUCAUCCAUGUCCUAAUACUUAAACCCAUGGAAAAUGUUAACAGUUACAUAGUUUUCACAGAAAAUUUGAAAUAAAACCUAUACAUAAUAUAUGUCAUGCUACAGCAUGACAAUUAUGACGCUUUGUGUCAAUCUGAAUUUGCAUUUUGACCUAAGAUACCCCUUUUAGUCGAUCAUCCCUAUCUAGCACAUAAGCUUUCACCUGACUGGUUUAUCUUUAGUAGAAUGUGCAUGGAGUAAGUUUUUGUUACAGGCAGAGGUCUGAAUCUGAAACAAUUUUGUUAAACAAUCUCUGUUUUACAUUUUUGGAAGGAAGACCUGUAUAAGUGGAAGCAUGAAUACAUUAAUACACUGUAAGGUUAAUAACAAUCGAUCGUUUCAUGUGAAA